AUGUCAAAGUUUUGGUGGGAUGAAUCUCUUGACAAGAGGAAAAUGCACUGGCAAUCGUGGGAGAAGAUGGCUGUUUCUAAAUCCAAAGGAGGCUUGGGUUUCCGGGAUUUGGAGCUGUUCAAUGAUGCAAUGCUCGCAAAACAGGCGUGGCGGCUGCUGGACAAGCCAGAUAGCCUAUGCGCGCGUGUUCUUAAGGGUAGGUACUACCCAGAUGGAGAUUUCUUGCAGGCAGGUUGCUCCGCCAGCGCUUCCACUACAUGGAAGGCGAUAAUCACUGGUAGGGAGGUGCUCAAGAAAGGUUUGAUCCGAAGAAUUGGCGAUGGAACUACUACGGAAGUAUGA
rnacentral:rRNA from 1 species